rnacentral:rRNA from 1 species
AAACUAACAAGGAUUCCCUUAGUAACGGCGAGUGAACCGGGAAAAGCUCAAAUUUGUAAUCUGGCUGUCUUCGAUAGUCCGAGUUGUAAUCUAUAGACGUGUUUUCCGUGCUGGACCGUAUCUAAGUCCCUUGGAACAGGGUAUCAAAGAGGGUGACAAUCCCGUGCUUGAUACGACCACCAGUGCUCUGUGAUACACGUUCUACGAGUCGAGUUGUUUGGGAAUGCAGCUCAAAAUGGGUGGUAAAUUCCAUCUAAAGCUAAAUAUUGGCGAGAGACCGAUAGCGAACAAGUACCGUGAGGGAAAGAUGAAAAGCACUUUGGAAAGAGAGUUAAACAGUACGUGAAAUUGUUGAAAGGGAAACGAUUGAAGUCAGUCGUGUUCUUUGGAUUCAGCUAGUUCUUCUAGUCUACUUCCAUUGAACGGGUCAACAUCAGUUUUGUCCGGUGGAUAAAGGUAUUAGGAAUGUAGCUCCCUCGGGAGUGUUAUAGACUAGUAUUGCAUACACUGGGUGAGACUGAGGACUGCAGCUCGCCUUUUGGCCGGCCUUCGGGCACGUUCGAGCUUAGGAUGUUGACAUAAUGGCUUUAAACGAC